UACGGGGGGAGCAAGCGUUGUUCGGAUUUACUGGGCGUAAAGGGCGCGUAGGCGGGAGAGAAAGUCGGGCGUGAAAUCCCUGGGCUCAACCCAGGAACUGCACUCGAAACUUCUUUUCUUGAGUGCCGGAGAGGAAAGCGGAAUACCUGGUGUAGAGGUGAAAUUCGUAGAUAUCAGGUGGAACACCAGUGGCGAAGGCGGCUUUCUGGACGGUAACUGACGCUGAGACGCGAAAGCGUGGGGAGCAAACAGG
rnacentral:rRNA from 1 species